rnacentral:lncRNA from 1 species
GUCCUCACUGUCUCCCUGCCAUUAGGUUGUCACCAUAUGUCCAGCUGCUAGCUCUGCUGCCCUGAGCCUGCCACUGAGGCUGCUAGAUGUGGUGUCCCCUGCUUUUUGCUGGCGAGGCAGAAAGGCAGACUCGUUGUACCUGGACUCUUUUGGAUCUGGGAUGAAAUGGUUUACUGAAUGAUAAAGAGCAAAUUCAGGCAGUAUAAUCAAAAGAUAAUCUCAGUUAUUAAGAAAUCAUCAUAGGCGGGGGUCAGGUAACACAUUAUUACUGCGGUGUCCCUUGAAGAAUUCAUAAAAACAGUGAGAAAGAAAAGGAGACGAGCUGCAUUCCUUGGUCAAGCAAAAAGCCUGCGAAAAAGGGAAGAGAAAGAAGCAAGGACAGCUCUGUGAAGUGGCCCAAGGGGCAGAGGAUACCUCGGGCAUUUCCUUGAAGAAUUUGAUUAUAGGAUGUACAGUUUUAUAGGGACCAUGAGGUGACUGCCACCAUAGGGUUAAUUUAGUGAAAUUAAGGGCAAAGUGCUGAGAUGUGAAAUCUCUUUGUCCCUGAAUUCACUCCCAGAACCAAGGCAGGCAGAGCAGAAUUAGCACAGAGAGAGACUUCUUGCACAGUUGGUGACUGAAGGCCAGGGAGGGGGAGGUGCAACAUGUUCUCAAGAAAAGAAGAGAGGGCGCUGACCGUGGGGUGUCCGUACCUGUCCUCAGGACACACAGGUUCCCAGGUGGUCACAGAGAAGGGGCGUUUGUCCUGUUGUGUUGUCAUUGCUCCUUCAAGCUCCACUCACGCUACCCUCUGAUUGGUGCCCAUGCUGGGUGGCCUGUGGGAUCGCAGGGGAAGGAGACGCUGUCUUCUCAGCAAUCUGCAGUGAAAGUCCUCCUCCAUGGCGAGAGCAUGAAUUGAUUCUUCUCACGCUGACCUCCCUGGAUGCUCACUGCCCAUCUCCCAGCGUUGCUUCUGCUUCCCGUGUGGCUUCCCCACAGAGUUGCUCCUUUCAUUGCCUUGGACAAGACCCGGGAGAAGUGACAAAACAAAACACAACAAAACAAAAAUACAAACCUCCCAACCGAUUGUGCUGACAUAUAAACU